GGGUUGUGAGGUUAAGUGACGAAGCGUACACGGUGGAUGCCCUGGCAGUCAGAGGCGAUGAAGGGCGUGCUAAUCUGCGAUAAGCGUCGGUAAGGUGAUAUGAACCGCGAUACCCGACGAUACCCGAAUGGGGAAACCCGGUGCACUUGUGCAUCAUUGCAGCAUGAAUACAUAGUGCUGCAAGGCGAACCGGGGGAACUGAAACAUCUCAGUACCCCGAGGAAAAGAAAUCAACCGAGAUUCCCCCAGUAGCGGCGAGCGAACGGGGAGGAGCCCGGAACCAUCAUCAGCUUGUGCAUCAGUGGAAGCGUCUGGAAAGUCGCAGGGUACAGGGUGAUACUCCCGUACACGAAGGUGCACAUGCUGUGAGUUCGAAGAGUAGGGCGGGACACGUGUUAUCCUGUCUGAAUAUGGGGGGACCAUCCUCCAAGGCUAAAUACUCCUGACUGACCGAUAGUGAACCAGUACCGUGAGGGAAAGGCGAAAAGAACCCCGGCGAGGGGAGUGAAACAGAACCUGAAACCGUGUACGUACAAGCAGUGGGAGCACCUUCGUGGUGUGACUGCGUACCUUUUGUAUAAUGGGUCAGCGACUUGUAUUCUGUAGCAAGGUUAACCGAAUAGGGGAGCCGCAGGGAAACCGAGUCUUAACUGGGCGUUAAGUUGCAGGGUACAGACCCGAAACCCGGUGAUCUAGCCAUGGGCAGGUUGAAGGUUGGGUAACACUAACUGGAGGACCGAACCGACUAAUGUUGAAAAAUUAGCGGAUGACCUGUGGCUGGGGGUGAAAGGCCAAUCAAACCGGGAGAUAGCUGGUUCUCCCCGAAAGCUAUUUAGGUAGCGCCUCGUGAAGUCAUCUGCGGGGGUAGAGCACUGUUUCGGCCAGGGGGCCAUCCCGGCUUACCGAUCCGAUGCAAACUCCGAAUACCGCAGAAUGUUAUCACGGGAGACACACGGCGGGUGCUAACGUCCGUCGUGAAGAGGGAAACAACCCAGACCGCCAGCUAAGGUCCCAAAGUCAUGGUUAAGUGGGAAACGAUGUGGGAAGGCCCAGACAGCCAGGAUGUUGGCUUAGAAGCAGCCAUCAUUUAAAGAAAGCGUAAUAGCUCACUGGUCGAGUCGGCCUGCGCGGAAGAUGUAACGGGGCUAAACCAUGCACCGAAGCUGCGGCAGCGGCGCGUAAGCGUUGUUGGGUAGGGGAGCGUUCUGUAAGCCGUGGAAGGUGUGCUGUGAGGCAUGCUGGAGGUAUCAGAAGUGCGAAUGCUGACAUAAGUAACGAUAAAGCGGGUGAAAAGCCCGCUCGCCGGAAGACCAAGGGUUCCUGUCCAACGUUAAUCGGGGCAGGGUGAGUCGACCCCUAAGGCGAGGCCGAAAGGCGUAGUCGAUGGGAAACGGGUUAAUAUUCCCGUACUCGGUGUUGCUGCGAAGGGGGGACGGAGAAGGCUAUGUCAUCCGGGCGACGGUUGUCCCGGUUUAAGCGUGUAGGCUGUUUUUCCAGGCAAAUCCGGAAAAUCAAGGCUGAGGCGUGAUGACGAGGCACCACGGUGCUGAAGUGACAAAUGCCCUGCUUCCAGGAAAAGCCUCUAAGCAUCAGGCAACAGAGAAUCGUACCCGAAACCGACACAGGUGGUCAGGUAGAGAAUACCAAGGCGCUUGAGAGAACCCGGGUGAAGGAACUAGGCAAAAUGGUGCCGUAACUUCGGGAGAAGGCACGCUGGCGCGUAGGUGAAGGGACGUGCUCCCGGAGCUGAAGCCAGUCGAAGAUACCAGCUGGCUGCAACUGUUUAUUAAAAACACAGCACUGUGCAAACACGAAAGUGGACGUAUACGGUGUGACGCCUGCCCGGUGCCGGAAGGUUAAUUGAUGGGGUUAGCGGCAACGCGAAGCUCCUGAUCGAAGCCCCGGUAAACGGCGGCCGUAACUAUAACGGUCCUAAGGUAGCGAAAUUCCUUGUCGGGUAAGUUCCGACCUGCACGAAUGGCGUAAUGAUGGCCAGGCUGUCUCCACCCGGGACUCAGUGAAAUUGAACUCGCUGUGAAGAUGCAGUGUACCCGCGGCAAGACGGAAAGACCCCGUGAACCUUUACUACAGCUUGACACUGAACACUGAGCCUUGAUGUGCAGGAUAGGUGGGAGGCUUUGAAGCGCGGACGCCAGUUCGUGUGGAGCCAUCCUUGAAAUACCACCCUUUAACGUUUGGUGUUCUAACCUUGCGCCGUGAUCCGGCGCGGGGACAGUGUCUGGUGGGUAGUUUGACUGGGGCGGUCUCCUCCCAAAGCGUAACGGAGGAGCACGAAGGUUGGCUAAUCCUGGUCGGACAUCAGGAGGUUAGUGCAAUGGCAUAAGCCAGCCUGACUGCGAGCGUGACGGCGCGAGCAGAUGCGAAAGCAGGUCAUAGUGAUCCGGUGGUUCUGAAUGGAAGGGCCAUCGCUCAACGGAUAAAAGGUACUCCGGGGAUAACAGGCUGAUACCGCCCAAGAGUUCAUAUCGACGGCGGUGUUUGGCACCUCGAUGUCGGCUCAUCACAUCCUGGGGCUGAAGCAGGUCCCAAGGGUACGGCUGUUCGCCGUUUAAAGUGGUACGCGAGCUGGGUUUAGAACGUCGUGAGACAGUUCGGUCCCUAUCUGCCGUGGGCGCUGGAGAAUUGAGGGGGUUUGCUCCCAGUACGAGAGGACCGGAGUGAACGCACCGCUGGUGUUCGGGUUGUCACGCCAGUGGCACAGCCCGGUAGCUAAGUGCGGAAAAGAUAAGCGCUGAAAGCAUCUAAGCGCGAAACUUGCCCCGAGAUGAGUUCUCCCUGUGGCUUAAAGCCACCUUAAGGGACGUUGAAGACGACGACGUUGAUAGGCCGGAUGUGUAAGCGCAGCGAUGCGUUGAGCUGACCGGUACUAAUGACCCGUGAGGCUUAACCUUACAACGCCAGAGGCGUUCUG
rnacentral:rRNA from 1 species